rnacentral:lncRNA from 10 species
UGCUAUUAAAAAAAAAAAAGUCACUGCAGUGAAGUUUUCAAAUGUGUGGCCAAACGUAGAUCACUUUCUUAAAAAAAGAAAAAAAAAGUUGGCCAAGGGCUCCCCCACUGCUAUACAUUACAAAGAAAAAGGCUACAUAAAAGUGAGCAGGGCGAUGAGGUAUUUCUUUCAUUCACAAUAUAGACAUUAUGUUUAUUUUAUCAUAAAGCCAGAUUUUCACAUUCCUUUUGUCUCUCCCCUGGCAUUGAGAGUUGCUUUCUUGGUUGCUUCCUUAACGAUUUGUGUAAUUGGUUUCACUCACUGAGGCCCAAUUGGUGGGUUCAUUGUGAGUGUCUCAUGAAAUAUGAAUCUAUUUAAAAAUUAAUAGUAAAUCAAUAUUAAUUCAAUAAAAUAUUUUAAUCUGAGGUAUAAAUAUUUUAUACCUUCACACAGACAUGCAGAUUUCAAAAGCCGUUUUCAUGUUUCUGACAGGCUGUCCGGUUUUGCCACGACGACAUGGAAAUUAUUCCUCCUCGUACCGUGUGCCAGCUCUGGGCUCUCUCAGGAAGAGCUGCCCAGAAGAGAAGGUUGCAACUCUGUAGAAACGUAUUGCUGCUGCUUAUUGAAGCUAAAGGAAUGUCGCUGCAUCAAUCAGGUCUCAUGGCAGGGCUCUCUUUCCUGUGUGUGGGAGGGCACCACGAACAAACGUUUCUUCUAAGGUGUCCCCUGGCACUGAUAGCACUCUCCUCUUCCGUUUUCCUUUAUCUGGUAAGCUGCUUUAUUUCCGAAUGUAUCUGAGUGAGUUCUCUGGUCUUCUUUCAUAAACCUAUUGAGUGGGAGGUAUGGAUCAGUAUAUGUGGAAAGGGCCUGAGUCUGUUGUUAAAUCAAGAGGGGGUCUUGAUAGGUUGACCAACUGUUCUGUUUUGCCCAGGAACUGUACUAAUUUUGGUAGUGAAGUUUCCAUGUCCUUGGAAAUCCCUGAGUUCUAAGCAGAAAUAUCAAGUUGGCACCUGAUAUUUCAGGUCUUGGACUUUUAUGUUGUUCUGGGUUUCAGGUAAAUGCUGAACUCCUGGAAGUUACAUGGGUUUGAAGAUUGAGAAGGACUGAUAUGUUUCUGAUUUUUCUAAUAAUAAUGUGUAAAAUGACAGUUGUGUAGUUUAGAGAUCUCCCACCUGGUUGUCUUUGCAAGCUCCAUUCAGACUCACAAACCACAUUUAGAGUCCAUGAACAAGAAACAUCUAGCUUAGGAACCACAGCUUGAUUGGCAGAGUGGGGCUGGCAGUUCUCUUUUGUCGGAGGACAAGACAGCUUAGUGGUAAAGCCAGGUUUCAAAUCCAAUGUCCUUGCCUUGCUUCUAACCACUCUGCUAAGAGGCAUUCUGCAGUUAACAGUGAUGGUGGUGAUUAAAGUGUGCUCACUUUUAUUGGAGUUGUUUAUUCGUGUUUUUCCAGUCAAUCAUAGCUCCCUUAGAGGCAAGAAUCUGGCCUUAUUCAACCUUGCAUUUUCUCUGAGACCUGGUGGCUUUUGUGGUGUAGGGCAGUCUUUUGGCUUCUUGGGGGGUGGCCUAGCCUCCUGGCAGUGAGUGUUGGUAUGUAAGAGCCUCAAAGUUGCAGCACCUUCCUCCUCACUUCGCCCUCAUCUCCGUCUUCAUUUUCCUAUCAUCGCCAUUGGAGUUUACUCUGUCUGUCUCCCGUGGAAAGUGGUUGGAGGAAACCUUAUUAUUUACAUGGGGAUAAAAAAUCAGGCCUUCCUAAUUCUUGCUGUGUGGGUGUCUAGGUGUGUGUGCACACUUUUGUAUAUAGAAAAAACGAGGGAGACAUAAAGCCUUAUUCAGAUUUAUGUAUCCUUUUAUGUAGACAGAUUUUUAAUACUCAGGAACUUGUCUGUUUCUUCCAAACCACCCAUAUUUACUGGGAGGACAAAAAAUUUAUUGCCCUGUUGCCUAAAAGCAGCUGUUCCAGAUGUGUGAAGAGAGGCCAUAUGCAAAUAUCCCAAAGGUAUGACACUUCAAAGGAUGACACUUUAUUUAAUUGUAAAUGUUUAGAUUUAUAAGAAUUUAAUUUCUUUCAAAGUAGAAAGCAAUAUGGCAUAUUAGGAAAAACCAGAAUGGUGUAAAUGCUUGUAUUCUGUGAUCUUAGCCAGAAAAAUUAAGCUUCUUGAGCUUUAGUUUCUUCAACUAGGAAGUGGCAUAAUGUCUACCUUGUAGGGUUUUUGUGAGGUCUGGGUAGAAGUAUUGUUUCAAGCAAUAGUUUCUGGCACAUAAUGAUGACUCUAGAA